rnacentral:snRNA from 1 species
AUACUUACCUGGCAGGGGAGAUACCAUGAUCAUGAAGGUGGUUUUCCCAGGGCGAGGCUUGUCCAUUGCACUGCAGAUGUGCUGACCUCUGCGAUUAAAAAAAAAAAAAAAUACAAUGGUACCAGGGUUCACAAAAUUAAUUCUUUUCACAAUUCUGGGGAAGAUGGCCACAUUCUUGUUCAUG